GAUGAACGCUAGCGGCAGGCCUAACACAUGCAAGUCGAGGGGUAGAGGAAGCUUGCUUCCUUGAGACCGGCGCACGGGUGCGUAACGCGUAUGCAAUCUACCUUAUACAGAGGGAUAGCCCAGAGAAAUUUGGAUUAAUACCUCAUAGUAUUAUUGAAUGGCAUCAUUUAAUAAUUAAAGUUCCAACGGUAUAAGAUGAGCAUGCGUCCCAUUAGUUAGUUGGUAAGGUAACGGCUUACCAAGACAAUGAUGGGUAGGGGUCCUGAGAGGGAGAUCCCCCACACUGGUACUGAGACACGGACCAGACUCCUACGGGAGGCAGCAGUGAGGAAUAUUGGUCAAUGGACGCAAGUCUGAACCAGCCAUGCCGCGUGCAGGAUGACGGUCCUAUGGAUUGUAAACUGCUUUUAUACAGGAAGAAACACUCGGACGUGUCCGAGCUUGACGGUACUGUAGGAAUAAGGAUCGGCUAACUCCGUGCCAGCAGCCGCCGUAAGAC
rnacentral:rRNA from 1 species